rnacentral:misc_RNA from 1 species
GAUGAAGAACGUAGCGAAAUGCGAUACGUAAUGUGAAUUGCAAAUUCAGUGAAUCAUCGAGUCUUUGAACGCACAUUGCGCCCCCUGGUAUUCCGGGGGGCAUGCCUGUCCGAGCGUCAUUGCUGCCCUCAAGCACGGCUUGUGUGUUGGGCCCCGUCCUCCGAUCCCGGGGGACGGGCCCGAAAGGCAGCGGCGGCACCGCGUCCGGUCCUCGAGCGUAUGGGGCUUUGUCACCCGCUCUGUAGGCCCGGCCGGCGCUUGCCGAUCAACCCAAAUUUUUUAUCCAGGUUGACCUCGGAUCAGGUAGGGAUACCCGCUGAACUUAAGCAUAUCAUAGCGGAGGA